rnacentral:rRNA from 1 species
UACGUAGGGUGCAAGCGUUGUCCGGAAUUAUUGGGCGUAAAGAGCUCGUAGGCGGUUUGUCGCGUCUGCUGUGAAAACUCGGGGCUUAGCCCCGGGCCUGCAGUGGGUACGGGCAGACUAGAGUGCGGUAGGGGAGACUGGAAUUCCUGGUGUAGCGGUGAAAUGCGCAGAUAUCAGGAGGAACACCGGUGGCGAAGGCGGGUCUCUGGGCCGUAACUGACGCUGAGGAGCGAAAGCGUGGGGAGCGAACAGG